rnacentral:rRNA from 1 species
CUACGGGUCGCUGCAGUGGGGAAUAUUGGACAAUGGGGGAAACCCUGAUCCAGCAAUGCCGCGUGUGUGAAGAAGGCCCGCGGGUUGUAAAGCACUUUCGGUUGGGAGGACUGCUUCUAGCACUAAUAUUGUUGGAAGUUGACGUUACCUUCAGAAGAAGCACCGGCUAACUCCGUGCCAGCAGCCGCGGUAAUACGGAGAGUGCAAGCGUUAAUCGGAAUUACUGGGCGUAAAGCGCGCGUAGGCGGCUAGAUCAGUCGGGUGUGAAAGCCCCGGGCUUAACCUGGGAACUGCAUCCGAUACUGUCUAGCUUGAGUACAGGAGAGGAGAGUGGAAUUCCACAUGUAGCGGUGAAAUGCGUAGAUAUGUGGAGGAACACCAAUGGCGAAGGCAGCUCUCUGGCCUGAUACUGACGCUGAGGUGCGAAAGCGUGGGGAGCAAACAGGAUUAGAUACCCGCGUAGUC